GGAGCACAGGAACACAGGAGGGAAACAAAGUGCAGACAGACCACAAACAUCCAGAAAACACAAUAAAAGCAGACAGAAAUGUCAGAACCACGACAGCUUUAGAGGAGUUGAUGGUCACAUUUACUUGUUUAUAGAGACAUGCCAGCUGUUUCCACAUGUUAUCAGUCUCAGCUAAACUAAAGCUCAAUUAAGAUAACCUUCCUCUUACACUAUCAGUUUACUGACUGAGGACAGGACUCAGGCUUUCUCUUGUUUUAUUUAGAGAAUGAUGAUAUUUUUCUGAUGCAUCUUGACCUGGAGAUAAAAUUCAGUCAGUUCACAGUGAGAUGGAUAUUAAAGUGUCACAUGAUCCUCAAGAUGAUGAGCUGUCACUCCACCUCACCUCCUCUGUUUCUGUUUCACAUCAACAGAGAGUCUGAGCUGUUUCCAGUCACUCACACAGAAAACUGCAUCAGGAUGAUGUCGCCAAUAACUCUGAUUGUCAUGUUGGGUUUUCUGAGUCAGGAGUGUUCUGCAAACGAUUUCCUGACUCAGGCUGACAAAUCCAAGUCUGUUAGUCUUGGAGGAACUGUGACCAUCAGAGCCACAGGGAGCUCAAAUAUUGGUAGCACUCUCAGUUGGUACCUUCAGAAACCUGGUCAGGCUCCCAAACUCCUGAUAUACUCUUCAUCAACUCGCUUCUCUGGAACUCCGUCUCGAUUCAGUGGCAGUAGAUCUGGUUCUAGCUACACUCUGACCAUCAGUGGGGUUCAGGCUGAAGAUGCAGGAGAUUACUACUGUAUGGGUGUUGGUUCAACGUUCACACAGUGA